CAAUAACAACACACAAAAAAUGUAUUUUCUCUCUAUACUCUCUACUCUCUACUCUUUAAUAUCCUAACAUGGCAAUGCUCAUCAAGAACAAAAACAUAACCUUCUCACUGGUCUUGAUAUGUCUAAUUGUGGUGUCUCCAGUGGCUAAGGCUCAACUUGAUGGGCUUCUUGGCAGGGAUCCUAAAAUCGUCAGUAUACAAGGGCGUAUGACGUGCUCUAUCGAUGGUAAUCCGAUUUCCACUCCUCCAGAUGGUUCUCCCGUUAAUAAACAGGGCCGUUAUGCUUCAGUGUGGUGGAAAAAAUGUUGCAACUACGAAUACGGACGUUGGUGGAGGAUUCUCGUUUCCUUCCAAACACAGUGUCUACGAUCCCGCUUUCAGAAGUCAUCUACGACGGUUGUAGCGCCAUGGCAUGACCCCUCUCUCUACAUGCAACCCCAGCCCCCCUACCAACAGAGUCGUCAUGGUACGUGUAGGUCCCAUCGUAAUCGUCGUUUCCAACGAAAAUAACAUGGAGGUAUUCAGAGAACUGGUCACCCCUCUCGUUGUCACCCUCUCCCGCUGAUUUCAUACUAAUUAAGUAUCCCUUCUCUUGGUUUGGUUACUGUGUUUCCGUUCUGUUGUUUUAUGUUUUGUGUUUUGUGUCAUGACCAUUAACGUUUGCUUGCGUAUGCAUGUAUCCAUGAAUAAGGUCUACAUAAUAAGGUGUAUGUCUCUAUGUUCAAAGUACUGUGGUCGUAACUUCUGUACCAGGUCUUAGUUUUCAUGCAUAAUGCUGCAAUGCAAUGUAAUGAAAUGAAGUAAUUUACUUUUUA